GUUAAAAAGCUCGUAGUUGGAUUUCUGUGAGAGUAUGAUGUCCUAACGUGUUUAGAGCGCAGAAAACUCUUGCAUCCUUCUGUUACCUCCACGUGGCAUUCGCUUGCCAGUGGUUGGCUCAGAGAAUUUACCUUGAGAAGAUUAGAGUGUUUCAGGCAGGCUUAGUCGGGAUACAUUAGCAUGGAAUAAUAGAAUAGGACUCCGGUCUCGCUUGUUGGUUUGAGGGACUGUAGUAAUGAUUAAUAGGGAUAGUUGGGGGCAUUAGUAUUCGGUUGUCAGAGGUGAAAUUCUCAGAUUUAUUGAAGACUAACUUAUGCCAAAGCAUUUGCCAAGGAUGUUUUCAUUAAUCAAGAACGAAAGUUAGGGGAUCAAAGAC
rnacentral:rRNA from 1 species